AUGCUUUUCAGUCAUGGUCAAAUAGAGUUUUGCCGAGUCUACUUGUACGCGCUUCUUGCCGCUGACCCCAGCACCAUAAAUUUUGACUAUUACAAAAUGGCAAAGACGCUGUCGGCGAAAAUCGGCCCAUCCAUACUAAACGCAGAUUUAUCUAAAUUGCAUGAUGAAUCUCAGCGACUUCUGGAUUGCGGAGCAGAUUACCUGCACCUGGACGUAAUGGAUGGACACUUCGUCCCUAACCUUACAUUCGGUCAUCCCCUGGUCAAGUGUCUUCGCAAUAAAAUAAAAGAUUGUUUCUUCGAGACGCAUAUGAUGGUUUCAAAUCCUAUACAGUGGAUUUCUCCUAUGGCAGAUGCAGGUGUCGAUCAAUACACGUUUCACGUUGAGCCAGUAGACAACGUGCCACUAAUAUGCAGGAAAAUCAAAGAGGCUGGUAUGAAGGUUGGAGUGGCUCUGAAGCCUGGGACACCAGUCGACGUCGUAGCCAAUUAUGUAGAAUUAACAGAUAUGGUACUGGUGAUGACCGUCGAGCCAGGAUUUGGAGGUCAAAAAUUCAUGGGGGAAAUGAUGGAUAAGGUCAGAUGGCUAAGAACAAAUUAUCCUACACUGGACAUUGAAGUAGAUGGAGGUGUUGGCCCAAGCACGAUACAUGCUUGUGCAGAAGCUGGUGCAAAUAUGAUAGUUUCAGGAACUGCUGUGAUAGGAGCUGAAGAUGCACGCGCCGUUAUUGCUCAGUUGAAAGACACAGUGAAUGCUGUGCUGAACAGGAGAUGAAAGGGUUACAUCCCGUUUGUUGGAAUGACCUUUCACCAUGGGAAUGACUAAAUAACGAGCGGUGUUCGUACCAGUUCUUUCUAUCGAAACCGAUUAUUUUUCCCUCAAGACAAAUUCCGUUGCUAAAUUGAGAACUACCACUUGUCGACCAGUGUGUGAAAAAAAAUAUUGAAUGUUUUUAUGAUAGUUCAAGUACUAGUCGAAAGAAAAUGAGCCACUUUUAUUAUGAAAGCAAUAUAUUAUAACCAAAACUGCGAGUAAGAAAAAGGAGGAUUUAGUUAUGUACUUGUUGACUGUUAACUAAAACUUCGUCCUAGUAAAAUUAAAUCUUAUUUGUCUUCAAAUCGACUAUCGUGAUCUGCGAUUUAAUUAUUUGAAAAAAAAGAAAUGUGUUCAGCAUUUUGAUCCCAUUUUCAAAUCAUGAAGAAAACCUGUGUUUUCCGAUUCCUGAUUUUACAAAGAAAUUUCAGCUAUGUAAAAAAUUUCCAUCUUCUCAUCAAAGGUAUUUGGAGUCGCGUGGACCUAAUGAAAUGACUAGAGAAUUUCGGAAAAUACGUCGAUCAAAUUGAUCUAUAAUUGAUCUCAUCGAGAUAUCUUUGAUUUUGCACAUUUCCGAGCGAUAAAUUGGCGACAACUUGAUUCGGAUUCCUGAGAGCGAAAUACAUUGGAUCAGCCUGAGCAACUCUUCAAAAAGAAUACAACUUCUCAUCUCAGAUGUACAGAAAUAUCCAAGGAUAGGCUUGGCAUAUAUUCGGGGUAGAACGUAAAGUAAUCUCGAUAUCAAUUGCGGGAUGCUUUUGUAAGAGGAUUUGACGUACAAAACACGAAUCUGUCGAGAGUCACACAUGCAACCCACGAAGCAGUUUGGCCUCUUAUCGAAAAUACCAGACGAUCCUCGGAGCAUCUACGAAGCCUAUCAUCGUAUUUUCGUUGCGAGGAAUUUGUAUAAAUGAGUGAUGCAUUUUUUGUUAACAAAGACUAUCGAUUUAUUAUUACAAUGUUGAUUGAAAUCAAAGUAUUGUACGAAAUAUUUAUAAUGAAUAAGUAAUGUUAUAAAUAUGAACGUGCUGUAUACAUUUUGACUAUUGUUUGCAAAUUAUCAAAUUGUUAAUAUGAUGUUAAUCGAAUAGAAGUAUUGUAAGAAUAUAUUGUAAGCACACUAUUUAAGUCGUUAUACUCAUAGAGGAUAGAUGUAUCUGUGAGGAGGGAACCUUCAUGGCAUUAUACGAUGUCUCAACAUGUAUUUAUGAACGUUGAUUUAUUAAUAAACAUCAACGACUAUCAAUA